rnacentral:lncRNA from 1 species
CAGGAGGUUUUUGUCCUGGUUGGGAUAUUGUGAGGUUCUGCUAUUUAGUGCCUAGAGUUGUCAAUAUGUUCAUGCUCCUGGCCACCAUGGAUAUUUGGUACUUGCAUGUUCUCUUGACUAUUCAAUCAUUAACCAGUAAUCUAGGGGUUACUUGAAUUUUUUUUCAGCUACCAAAAAAAGCUCAAAUUUAUUUUGAUUUUGUUGGAAUUUCAAAAGUUCUUGAGUUGGUGAAGUGCUUUGGCACCUCUGUUCAACUUGCCCAGUUAACCAUAGAGGAAGAAUUUUACUGGCACCUUUUGUCACAACUCACAAUGGACG